rnacentral:rRNA from 1 species
AACGAACGCUGGCGGCAGGCCUAACACAUGCCAGUCGAGCGCCCCGCAAGGGGAGCGGCGGACGGGUGAGUAACGCGUGGGAACGUACCCUUUGCUACGGAAUAGCCUCGAGAAACUGGGAGUAAUACCGUAUGUGUCCUUCGGGAGAAAGAUUUAUCGGCAAGGGAUCGGCCCGCGUUGGAUUAGGUAGUUGGUGGGGUAAUGGCCUACCAAGCCGACGAUCCAUAGCUGGUUUGAGAGGAUGAUCAGCCACACUGGGACUGAGACACGGCCCAGACUCCUACGGGAGGCAGCAGUGGGGAAUCUUAGACAAUGGGCGCAAGCCUGAUCUAGCCAUGCCGCGUGAGCGAUGAAGGCCUUAGGGUUGUAAAGCUCUUUCAGGGGGGAAGAUAAUGACUGUACCCCCAGAAGAAGCCCCGGCUAACUCCGUG